UUUCGAUGACUCCACCAAGCUCCCCAUUGCAAAUCGUUUGCAGUGCGGUCGCAGUGUGGUACAGAUUCAAAGGCUUACCGCGAAGUGAUUUUUCCACUCGGAAAGUUUCUUUCAGAUAGAUUUGAAGGUUGGAUUUCUGUUUCAGAACUUGUGUAAGAGAACGCUUUCUCGCAUGUUGAGCAGGGAGAAUUGUUUGACGCCACGGAUAUGAAGGUCAACAGCGGACGCUUUGGAGCAAGGGAAGUAGUUUAGCUGUUGAAUAUUCGAUUCGAUUCGAUUCUUUAUCGCCAGCCAUGCAGCAGCCCUGCAUUUCAGUAAUAUUUUCCUCUUUCUAACGAAUUAAUUACAUUUCAGCAAGCGAAUAGUUCUUCUUGUGUGAAUGUGCGUGCUUGUGUGUAUGUGCGAAUGGGAUUGUGUGCUUCAAGUUGAGCGUGUAUUUGGGUCGGGAUUGAACAAAUAUUCAUAUUUCUCUGCCAUGCUUUAUAUUCACAUAAAGCUUGAGCACAUAUAAAAAAGGAAACGCUAACACUCUCGUUUUUUUUAACACUAAUCAUCGCAACACUUACAGCAAAGUUCCUUCGCCUGCUGGCUACCGCUGCAGAAGCGCAUCCAUAUGGACGAGACUGGCUGGACCAUCCUGCGCAUCCUGUCGCAGCGUAAUAAUGACGAAAUUGCGAAAGAAUUCGUUAAGCUUAAGUCGGAAGCACGGCAGGAGAUUGCAGCUCAGGGCUAAAAGGCAAAAGUUAAACAAAUAUGUCAGUGUUGCGUGGACCGAAAACAUAAUAAUUCGUUAUUUACUAUUCGUGGAUAUAAGACAAAAAAGAAAUGGAAAAAAACAAAAAAAAGAACACACACACAAAAGUUAUUCCACUUACAUCAACCUAGAUCCUAUCAAGCGAAGUAUAAGACGUGUAAGAGAAGCAAGACACCGUAGCUAUCAAGGGAGUUAGAUGGAUGAGUAACGGAAUGCAAACGGCUCUACAUGCCGAAUGCAUCGGUAAAGUGAUGAAGAAAUACGACAGUGACAUAGAGAACGCAAAGCGAGAGAGAUGUUAGAUCAGCAGUAAAACUAUACACUUAACUAAUCUUUAACUCUCGACUAUAUUUCUAUUCCUACGAUCGUACCAUCACUGUGUGUAUGUGUGUGUGUGUGUGUGUGUAUAUCUCAAUUGCAAAUUGUAUUGUCGUCAUAGUUAUACAAAAAUGAUAACUCGUCGUCUAUGGGGGUGUCUUUAGGAGGGCAGGGCGUUGGCUUCCGGACCGACGGAGGUUCCGUCCGUUCCGUUUUCGGUUAGAAAAUUCUGCCCCAGUAUGGCCCCACUUCCCGUCUACUACUAUCACACGUGCAACCAUGAAACAAUCGAUGUUCGGGAGCAUUUCAAUACGCUCCCCAUAUCCAACUUCCUAACUCUGAAUAUAUCUGAUGUUAUUCCUCUUCUACGUUCUGAUGUUAUUGGUUCCAUUUUGAAAAUAGUAAGAUCGUUCGUUCCGUUCCGGAUCAACGUAGAGCUAUAAUAGGGCAGAUUGGUCAGCCGUAGUGUUGUAAGCGACAAGCCAAAUAACAGAAUCGAAAGACGGAUAACGAAUAAAAAAAAACAAUCAGAAACAGUUUAAGCAAAUCACCCGUAAAGUAUUAAGUUUUCCAUCUGAUGUUGACGAAGUUUAAAAAAAAGCUACAGCUACAAGCUACAAACAAAAAAGCAAUGGGAAAAACAAAUCAUCAAUGAUGAGUUGAAUUUAAAUUUGCUAAACCAAAAAACUAACAAGCAAAACGGAAUGAGGAAGAACAUCAACUAAACCAUUUCAAAAGAUUCGUUAUUUUUUAUUUAUGCGCACAGAAACCAGUAGGAAGAAGGUAGCACCGAUCGGAAAAAGGCUGACAAGUUUGUGUGUUAAACAAACGAGGCAGAAUAUACAUACGGUACAGUAAACAGUAAGUGGCCCACAAGGUAUCGAAACGUUAUAGGACACCGUGCGGUCGUAAUCGGCAGCAUCAUCCAUGUACACCUAUAUAAAUAUCAUACAAAUAUCAUACAUACGCAUACGAACCUACCUACCUAUCCUGCCUACCUGCAUAUAUACCCCAUCUACCUUCCAGCAAAACACACCCAACCUACCUGCCUACAGAGCACAUACAUAUUGCAUAUAGGACAAAUAAAACAAACAAACAAACAAACAAACAAACAAACGAAAACAUACCAGACACACAUAGUGUCCGCUGCGAAGCGUAUAAGAAGUAAUCAUAGUUGUAACAGAGGAAAACUAAUGUAUCACAAUAGCACACAUACACCCUCGUCAGCCAUGCGACAUUAUAUCGCGAUUAUCAUAAUCAAUCGUUCAUCAUCAUCUUCAUCACGGACAAGGCGCAGAUCAGUGCGGAAGUAGUAGCAGAAGUGGCGCGCAACAUUAUAAGCUAGGAUAUGUAAAAAUGUUAUGCACUUAGCAGAAAACAAAAACAAACAACAGUUGAUAGAAGCUAAUACAAUUUGAUUGUUUAAACAUAUUUUCUAACAAUUCCUUGCUUAUAGUAAGAUACCAAUUCCAAAUAAAAACUUUUGCAAAAACAA